rnacentral:rRNA from 1 species
UACGAAGGGGGCUAGCGUUGCUCGGAAUUACUGGGCGUAAAGCGCACGUAGGCGGAUUGUUAAGUCAGGGGUGAAAUCCUGGAGCUCAACUCCAGAACUGCCUUUGAUACUGGCGAUCUUGAGUCCGGGAGAGGUGAGUGGAACUCCGAGUGUAGAGGUGAAAUUCGUAGAUAUUCGGAAGAACACCAGUGGCGAAGGCGGCUCACUGGCCCGGUACUGACGCUGAGGCACGAAAGCGUGGGGAGCAAACAGG